UGGGGAAUUUUGGACAAUUGGGGAAACCCUGAUCCAGCCAUCCCGCGUGUGCGAUGAAGGCCUUCGGGUUGUAAAGCACUUUUGGCAGGAAAGAAACGUCAUGGGUUAAUACCCCGUGAAACUGACGGUACCUGCAGAAUAAGCACCGGCUAACUACGUGCCAGCAGCCGCGGUAAUACGUAGGGUGCAAGCGUUAAUCGGAAUUACUGGGCGUAAAGCGUGCGCAGGCGGUUCGGAAAGAAAGAUGUGAAAUCCCAGAGCUCAACUUUGGAACUGCAUUUUGAACUACCGGGCUAGAGUGUGUCAGAGGGAGGUGGAAUUCCGCGUGUAGCAGUGAAAUGCGUAGAUAUGCGGAGGAACACCGAUGGCGAAGGCAGCCUCCUGGGAUAACACUGACGCUCAUGCACGAAAGCGUGGGGAGCAAACAGG
rnacentral:rRNA from 1 species